UUGAGCUGUUAGGAUUUAGAAAAAUGGUUUUUAAAAAUCACUUAUUGGGCUGGAGAGAUGGCUCAGCCGUUAAAGGCUAGGCUCACAACCAAAAAUAUA
rnacentral:miRNA from 14 species